UGAUGAACACCAGAUUUUUCUACCUCUGAUUUCUCACACUAUAGAGAUCUAGAAGGAAAAUGGAUGGUAUAGGGAUGAUGUACAUCAUCCCAACUUUCUAAUGAUGUAUAGAUCGCACGUUUUGAUGGAGGUUUGAGUUUCUGCAAUUUGGCCGGAAUCCUGAAGCUCACCGGAGAAGACGGUGGCUCCGGUGGCUUUAUCCUCUCCAGAUCAAAUCUAGGCCGUGCGUUUGAAUCUCCAGAUUUAAUCUCAUCCUUUC
rnacentral:lncRNA from 1 species